GGCUUCAUCAAAGCAGCUUGUGAGAGCUUUUGCGGUGUGUUUUGUUAAGAGAAAAUGGAACAAGGCUGGGUGAAUUCUGCUAUCAAGAGGGGUUUUCAAGUUUGUUUACUCUGAUGUGCAAACUUCCAGGAACAUGGGGUUCCAUCGCUCUUGCACUCUUCGCUGGGGCGGAAGCUGCUUUCUAAAGCUACAGAAAAAUGUUGUGGGCGCACAGUCCAGUGUCCCAGAAUGCCUGGGGUCAUGGCCGCCAGACCCUCGGCACUGUGGAAAAGCUGCCUCAGAAAAGUGUCACAAACAAGGAGAGGAAGAGGAAGGAGCUCUGUCUGCCUCUGAAUGAAGCUAAAAAUGGAAAGCGCGUGUGGUGCAGGAGCGGAACCCAGCCUGCCUUUUCCAAAUGGGGAAGACUGAACUUUCCCACCAGCUCCCAACGCAAAACAACUUUCAAAACAACUGCCUCCCCCCUCUGCUUCGAGCUCUUUCAUCCUCUCACAUGGAAGGCUGAAAAGGGUUGCAUCCUGCCAGCAUCACUGAGCUACGGCCUCUUAGAAAUCACUUGGACCACAGGAAAAGAGGAGGAAAAAUGAGUGAAGGAGAAAACAGCCUGCAGUGUCUUCUGACUUGCAGGCAUAUAGCACCAAAUUGAAAAAGCAAAAACAAAACAUAAAACUGUUCAAUAAAAUUCCCUGGAGAGAAUUCCUUUAGGACCCUUCAGCUACAAAUAGCACUUUCCAUUUAAGUCUGAAAGUGUAUGAAUUCCCAGAAGUCACUGAUGUACUACAGUUUACUGUAACUAAAGUUACAACAAAUUUAGAAGACUUGGAGGACAAUCUCUGCUUCCACUUGUAAACUGAUAACGAUAUUCCCGAAAAUCCUCCCUCACACUCAGAAAAAAGUGUUUCCCAAAGGCAAAAAAAAAA